rnacentral:misc_RNA from 1 species
GCGGAAGGAUCAUUACCGAGUUAUGGGACCUUCGAGGCCCCGACUCCCACCCUGUGCUUACGUUUAAACCGUUGCUUUGGCGGGCCGGCCCUCAGGGGCCGCCGGGACCUCCUGGAGAGCGCCCGCCAGAGGACCACGCGAAACUCGUACCAAGUCGUCACUCUGAGCAAUCGAAAAUAAAACUAAAACUUUCAACAACGGAUCUCUUGGUUCUGGCA